GAAAACUGGGAGGCAGGUGCUGCGAUGAGACGGAGGGGGGUGCCGUGGUUCGGAAUUACUGUGCGUAAAGGGCACGUAGGCGGCUUGGUAAGUGAGAGGGGAAAGCCCAGGGCGCAACCCUGGAAUUGCCUUUAAGACUGCAUCGCUUGAACAUCGGAGAGGUAAGUGGAAUUCCGAGUGUAGAGGUGAAAUUCGUAGAUAUUCGGAAGAACACCAGUGGCGAAGGCGACUUACUGGACGAUUGUUGACGCUGAGGUGCGAAAGCGUGGGGAGCAAACAGGAUUAGAUACCCGUGUAGUC
rnacentral:rRNA from 1 species